rnacentral:rRNA from 1 species
UACGUAGGGCGCAAGCGUUAUCCGGAAUUAUUGGGCGUAAAGAGCUCGUAGGCGGUUUGUCGCGUCUGCUGUGAAAACCCGAGGCUCAACCUCGGGCCUGCAGUGGGUACGGGCAGACUAGAGUGCGGUAGGGGAGAUUGGAAUUCCUGGUGUAGCGGUGGAAUGCGCAGAUAUCAGGAGGAACACCGAUGGCGAAGGCAGAUCUCUGGGCCGUAACUGACGCUGAGGAGCGAAAGCGUGGGGAGC